AUACGCGGGUAGGUUAAUGCGGUUUCAAAUAAUUUUUUACAAUUUUUGGUGAUUGCAUCGAAAUCUCAUCUAUUACGUCAUUUUCGAAACUAUACGAAUUUUGAUUGGCUAAAUCGGACGUUGGGAGAAUUUGCUAUAGAGUGGUGAUUUUUUGGCUUCACCGAGGUCAAAGAUUUAUCAACUUGUUGUUUUUCGACAACGGCAUUGCGACAUUAACAAUAUCUUCAUACAUGAUCAUUGUUCCCUUGAACACUUACAGUUUUAAGUAAGAAAAUCGCCAAAAACUAAGAUUCAUCAACGUCAAUGUUUAGCUUGUCACGUCACAGUCAUUAUUAUCAGCUGUUGAGCACCUUGUCACAGAAGUCGGCACAUGGAAAUCACAAUGGAAAGGUGGAUUUAGCAUACAUUUUGAGGUAAAUACGUUGUAAAUUGUAACUCUUUAUCACCGGUACCCAUUUCUUCUUAUUGAAUUUGUUGAAGUGAAUCAAAACAUUUAUAAUUCGUCAUUUAUUUGGAUAACCGACGACGAAAACCGUUGACCUAUGAAUCAAUCAACGAAUCAAUAAAGUUAGCUAAAUGGAAACAAUGCUCGGAGAAAGAUUGUUUUAAUAUUAGUUUUAUUAGACUUGAUUUUUCCCAAGCUAACUGUUACAUAAUAAUUACAAACCCCCCCCCCCCUUAAUUCCCCCUUGGUUUAGUGUAUGCAAUAAAUUAAAACUAUUCAUUUUUUACUUUGGUAGUAAAUUAAGGGGUGCACCCCUAUAUUAUCAUACCCAGUCUACCUAUCCUUAAGCUUAGUCAUUUUUUGUUUAUACUUUUAUACACCACCUACGCAAAAUGAACAGUGUUGGUGUUUUUACAUUUUAAACAGAGAAUGACAUUGUUUCAAUUCAGAAUUAUUUUUUUUCAUUGUGAUUUAAGCAUAAAUUUUAUUAAAAUAAAACAUGGAUUUGUUUCACAAAUAGUAUUUAAUAUCCAUUGUCAUUUCUAAGUUUACAAAAAUACCAGAAUUUAUAAAAUAAGUUUAAAAGAAUAAGUUCAGGAAUUUAUAAAUGCAUGUUCAAACAAAUAAAAUGUACUAUUAUUAAAGUUAUAUUUCAGUUAUCAGGCUACUGAGAUUUUACAAAAUGAGAGAAUUUGCUCAUCUCAGUUAAUAUAUUAUCCAAUUUAAUUUUUAGUAAUAGACAUGAAAAUUUUAAAUUGAUCACCACUUUCAUUCAAUUGACAUAAAGACUAUUGAUUACUUGUAGGAUUUGCUAAUCCAAAUAAGUGACUUUAAAAGGUGUCAAUCUACAUUGAUGUAAAUAUUUCAAUAUCAUACAGAUUAAAUACCUAACAGUUUUUUUUAAGUAUCUCCUUUAUUGCCUAUUUCCUACAUGUUUAACAAAAAACUUUUGGUGUGUUUAUUGCUUUAAAAGUUUUGACUAUGCAAUUUUAUAUUUGUCUUUUGCAGAAUUUGUAUUCACUGGUUUUUUUUACUGCUUCCAAGUGAGUUGACAUGUAGGAAGUCUGCAUUUUGAUGUAAGCAUUCAAAUAUUAUAUUAUUGUUACUGACACUUUAAUAUUUUUUAGUCACAUGAAGUGAUAUGAAAGCUAUUUUAAGAUUAAUUGCUUAUGAGUUUAGAUUACUCUGUCUAUUAUAUUUAUGUGUUAAGAAAGUAAACAAGCAUGGCAAUUAUUUUAUUACAAACAUGUAAGUUUACUAUUAGUUUUACCAACCACUGCUGAUACUAAGGGCUAUAGCUAUUAAGCUUACUAAAAUUUGAUUAUAUUGAAGUUCUCUUUUUGUAUCAGAAUAAGAAUAUAAAUAAGAUAAUUGUUAUGUUCAAAAUAUUAAUAACAGGGCACAUUAAGAGCAUAUUAUUAUAUAAAUCAAGUUCAAUGAUUGAAGUAAUAGAUAUUAUGCAUAUAUAUAGCAAUGGGGCUUAUAAAUUAAUUAUAUUGUGUAUAAUAAUAUCAUUUUUUUUGCAGGAUUUUAAGAUGAAUGAGAAACAAUGGCUACUUCCAAUACAAUAGCACAAUUGAUAAAAUGAAUAAUACACAAGGACUGCACUUUUCAUUCUAAGGAAGAUCAACAAAUGAUACCCAAACAAGGAUAUUAUUUUCAUAUCAGAUUCCUGUACAUGAGAUAUAAAGAGAAAAUUCAUUUUCCUGAAAAGACAACUCUUUACUUAUACAUAUGUGUGACAAAAUUAAUGGAAUCAAGACUGUUUUAACUGUGCUAAAAGGAAUACAAAUUAGAAGUUAAUUGACUGUAUUAAAAAAAAGUGAGAAAAAAUUUACUGUAUGAAAAAGCAGGUUCAGCAAAAGGAAAUAUGUUGAAAUGAAUGAAUAACUAACUGCAAUGAUUCUGGAACAUGUGUUAGUUCAUGAUCAAACAAAGGAAAAAUUUAUAAGAAAGUGGAAUACAUAUGUGAUAUUGUGUCCUAAUUAUGAUCACUGAGGAGAGGAUGUUUCACAGAACUUUUACUUCAUAAAUGUGUCACUGUGUACAAAUUGUGAUUUCAUUCAGUGGAUAAAUUAUAUUUAGCUGUGCUCCAUGGAAUAUUAAAAUCAAAAUCAUUAAUAGUGUUUAUUAAUAAUAAUGUGAAACCAAAAGCAAAAGUGUUAGGAAUGAUGAAAUGUUUUCACAUACAAAUUAGCAUAUAGAUUCAUCAAUAGGAACACUCAUUCCCUAAUUUCAAUGAUUGUGAAACAUGUUUUAUAACAAAAACAAAAAAAAUCUAUGUUAUUUGGUUAUGAUGGUAAGUUGUGACACAUUGAAAAACAUACCACAUGAAGUAAAAUAAGUCAUAUUAGCUGCAUUUAAUACACAAUUUCAAAUCAAUCAAUCAGUGAAUGUAUAUUUUAAAUUACUUGGGUUAAAUGAAAAACUUUAAGGUUUUCAGACACUGAUCAUAGAUAUAUAUUCCCUUACAAAAACAUUCACACCCCCUUUUCAGAAAGUACCAAAUAAUGCUUAUUGAGGAGCAAUUAUCAAUAUUAAUUCAAUUAUCUAAUUACAUGAAGCUUUAACUGAUGAUAAAUAUUAUAAUAACUUUUCUUAUUCAGUUCAACAUGAUUUAAACUGAUGUCUGCUAGUUUUAUGCUGUUUUAUCCUUAAAAAUAAACACCUCAUUGAUGGUUAGCAUUGCAAUUAUAAAAGAUAAUAUAUUAUAUUGAUAUUAAUAAAAUAUAGAUAAUCAAAACAGUUGUCCAAGUUCAUGAUUUUUCUAAUUUAUACAGAUUUAGGCCACAGAUUCAUUAAUUGGGAUCUGAACUGGGGGGUGAGGGGGUUGUCAAUUAGUUGCUAUGAGAAUUUUUCUCUAUUAUUUUUAUUCAAAUAGCAUCUUUUCUUUACCCUGCAAAAUUAUUAUUAUAUAUUCUUUAAAUAAACUUUACACCCUAUAUAUACCUAUAUUUCUGUUUCCUGUACCUUAAAAAGAGAUUACAGCUAAUUUCCUAAAGCAUGUAGAGCAAGACUUAGGUUACCUUGCUUGCUUUGUUUGUAUAUUGUACAAUAAUAAUUUAG
rnacentral:lncRNA from 1 species